rnacentral:lncRNA from 1 species
AUGGGGACGGCUCCUUGCCCAGCAAGCAAGCCGAAGGGAGCCCAGAGCCUCAGGACCAGGAGAGGGURUGCAGGGAAGCCUCACUAUGCACUAGCAGUGGCCAGGGUCACCCUGGGUCUGAGCAGCAGCUUCCAGCUGGGCCAGGAGCCCGUGCAGGAGCUGUCAGAAGACCCYGAGCCCCAUCGAUGGAGUUAUCCCAGCAGAUCUCAAGCCUCCGGGUCACAAGCCAUGGCCAGGGGCAACGAGGAGCUGGAACCGAGGCCACGAGAGGGUUGGCCCUCCCUCCAUAUCCACGGGCGCCCGUCCAGGGAUCCACCUACCGCGGGUCAAAAAUAUCAGGAAAAGAAUCGCAUCUGCACUGAGUGCGUGCAGACUUUAUUUUUUGUCAUCAUUCCCUAACAACCCAGMACAACAGGGAUCUGCCAGCACGCACACGACCCUGGGAAUGACACAGCCCAGGGGUGACUUAAUGUAGAGUGGAGGGAACUCGUGGGUCGUGUGCCAACACUAUAUCCAUUAAUCCAAGGGACUGGAGCAUCGAUGGAUUCCAGCAUCUGGAGCCUGUCCACCCGGCCAUAGACGGUGACUGUGUGUGUGUUGAAGGGUCCUUUGGCAACUUCAGGAAGAAUCUGGAGGAGCGGUCUUUACUUCGCCAUCUCUGAGAUCGGUGGCGGUCCGGAUGUCACUUSGAUAAACGAUGUGCCCACAGUGACGCCUGCGAGAAGCCCAGAGCUGACCCAAAGGCUGUGGAGAGAAGUAUGCACCUGUCCUCGGGGAGGGAGGGCCCCGCGAACACGCAACCCGCUCCACUGGCUCUCCACUCGGCGGUGGUGCCUCAUCUGCAAGACUUCAGGAGCAGCCACCGGUGCCCUUCUCUAGACGUGGGGAGGGCAGACCAGACCCCRUGACCCCUGUUCUAUCACAUUCUAGAAGGAGAAGGCACAUGGACCAACUAAGAGCUAGACUUUGUCAGUUAUGGAUACUUCAGGUUGACGGGGUGGGAAGAUCCCCGUUGUUUCAAGUGUAAACUGAAUGACUAGAAGAUUCCAGGCCCACGAUGAUUUGAGAAACAGCCCUCCAGGAAGAGGGGCUGCUCGUGCCAAGGGCCUGAGGUGGGAAUGAGUCUGGUGUGUUUUAGGAAAUCAGGUCAGUGGGGCUGGGGUGUGGGGAACAAGAAAUGAGUGUCAGGGAUGUUGACAGGAGCAAGAUCAAGGGCCUGUUGAGAAACCUGGUCAUGGUGGCCGGCCGACAAUGCAGCAUCGGGGAAUCUGUACAGAAAAAGCAAUUUACCUCCAGUCAGCAGACCCACGAGCAAAGAAAGCUUUGGCCAUAUUGUCACAGAGUCAAAGGAAUAUAAACUCACACGUCUGAAGUUGUAACAGACUGUCCAGGGCUUGUG